AUGUUUGACCUUAUCGGUGCGGUUCCUGCGGUGCCGGAUGACCCAACUAAAUACAGAGUCCCCGCUGGCGCAACUUAUGUUUGGAUCGUAGAACAUUUUAGCCAGUGCCCCGACGAUGCUAGUGAGGAAAUGGUCCAACAGUAUACACGUGCAUACUUGUGGUAUGUGAUCUCAAGGACUCUUUUUGCUGACGGUGGUGGCAGGACUGCUCCAUGGAUGUGGCUGAAGGCGUUAUCUAGUUGGGAUAGUAAACAGAGCUGGGGUUUAGCGGCACUGGCCUACUUGUACCGUCAGUUGGAUGAGGCGUGUUGUAGGCACAAAGAUGAUGCCAGCAUUGGUGGUCCGUUGGUCCUACUUUCGGUUUGGAUGAUGGAACACUUUUCAGUUGGACGGCCGAAAGUGAUCCGUUACGACGCUUGGGACGAUCAUGAUAACCCGCUACGGCAGCCUACAUGGGCGUACAAGUGGUACAAGGUUUCGGAGUUCAAUGGCAACCAAAAGAGAAUGUACAUAGACUACACCAAUGAGUUUGACGCGCUAACAGCCGAGGAGGAUACACCACCAGAGUGGAAGGACACGAAUAUCGUGCUUCACGGCUUGGACAAAAUGAAGGAGAAGAAGAUCAAGAACUGGUUGUCAUAUCAUGAAAAGUACAUCAAGAAGGGGAAUUACUUGGUGAAGGUGGCUAAUAAUAACAGACAAGUACAUCACCAAGUGCACGAUGAAGCUGCAUUUUACAAAUAUCUUCAAUGGUUUCUUAGCGAGUCUCGUGUGGAGUUAUGCCUGCCGGCUUAUGAUGAGAGAAUAUUGGAGGUGCCCACAUGUUUCGAAGAGGCUGCCAACCUCAACUACAACAGGCUCAUCAGAGAGGGCAUACAAACCGGAUUUGCUCCUAUGAUCAACUUUAUGCGCACUGAGAUCUCGCGCCAGGUUAGUGAAGCCGAUCAAGCACUCGCACAACCUCGGGGUGGGAAUCUGAGAAUGCCCUUAGAGAGUUUAUUAAGCGUAGCGCUACUCGGUUACGUUCCAUAG
rnacentral:rRNA from 1 species